AUCGUCUUAUCGAACAUGCAGCCCUGUUGACAAACUACUGUUUUCCAUAAACGCUCCAGGAUAUCAUUAGCAUCAUCCCUAACGGGCGGCCGAGUGUAAAAAUCAAACGCCCCUAUCGCCUCUGACAAAGCUAACGCUAGCAGCCCGGGCAGAGCAGAUCGCAGACCAGCAAGGCCAGUCGGGCCGGCUGGGAGAAGCAGUGGUGGGCUGAGGCGACAAAAGACCACCUGUAACCACAAAACCUAAUGCAUACGCCGGGCCACGUAACGUGUGCGUUACUCACUCAGUGUCUACGGACCUGUGCUGCUGCCCUGUGACAGUUCACCUCAGGAAUUAAAGUGUCCUAACAUGUCCUGUCAAGCCCUGUCUUGCCUUGUUUAGUUUAUUCUUGUCCUGUCAUGUUCUAUUGUAACCUAUCAAGCCCUGUCUUGUUUAGUCCUGUCGUGUCUUGUCUUAGUGUAAAUUAAUAAAUCAUUAUGUACCGUUA